AAAAGAAGACAAUGGUGGAGAAAAAACCUGUUUGGUAUUACUUCUCAGCAAAAAGACAGACAAAAAGGGGGCUAUUGAGACUCCCUUAUUGUUUCCUUGUUCCUUACUUGAGACAGUCCAAUCAAGAAUUUGGCUAACAGUGAGAUCGAUGAGACCCAGGUGGGGUGAAUUAGAGAAAAGGCUAAUAAUAUGGCCCUGGCUUGAAGUUUCAGGAUCCAGAGAGUCCAAAUUUAUGGGUUUGUUGAGUUGUUCUUGAUUGUUUUCUCUUUGAUUUGAUGAUCUCGUGAAGUUUGGUGGGAGCAUUGAAUUCAGUGGCGGAAUAGAAGCAGAAAAGGGAUAAAAUAAAAGCAAUUCAGAUACGCAAAGUUUGGUGCCUGUUUGUGUGUUUGACCAGGCCGAGUUGGCUCGUGGACUCAACUUCCAACCGUUCAGAUGGUAGACGCGGCGGAUGCUGAUGGGUCUCUGUUUCCGUACUCUGUCGUUUUCAGCUUGGGAUUUGGUACCAACAAAACUCUCAGAUUGGUCUUUGAUGUUUUGCUUUUUGGAAGUCUAAUAGUGCAUGAAGGAAGGUGAUAGCUCACCCAUUAAUACCAGCAUAGUUCAGCGAUUAACACGGGUGUAGCUCAGCGAUUAACUCGGGCAUAGCUCAGCGAUUUUGAUAUUUACUUUUUUGUUUGAUGUCGUUAAGACGGUUUAAAUUUAUAUCCCUCACAUUUUUUGUAUUAGAAAAAAUGUUUGUAGAAGUAAUAUCUUUUAAAGUUAAUUGGAAAUAUGAUUAAAAUAAGGAAUUACAAGUUCCUUAAAA